GACGAACGCUGGCGGCGUGCCUAAUACAUGCAAGUCGAACGAACCGCGACUGAGUGCUUGCACUUGGUCAAGGUGAGUGGCGAACGGGUGAGUAACACGUGGGUAACCUACCUCAUAGUGGGGGAUAACAGUCGGAAACGACUGCUAAUACCGCAUAGGACAUAGGAUCACAUGAUCCAGUGAGGAAAGGUGGCGCAAGCUAUCGCUAAGAGAUGGACCCGCGGUGCAUUAGCUAGUUGGUAGGGUAAAGGCCUACCAAGGCGAUGAUGCAUAGCCGACCUGAGAGGGUGAUCGGCCACAUUGGGACUGAGACACGGCCCAAACUCCUACGGGAGGCAGCAGUAGGGAAUCUUCCGCAAUGGACGCAAGUCUGACGGAGCAACGCCCGCGUGAGUGAAAGAAGGUCUUUCGGAUCGUAAAAGCUUCUGUUGUUAAGAAGAAAG
rnacentral:rRNA from 1 species